UACGGGGGGAGCAAGCGUUGUUCGGAUUUACUGGGCGUAAAGGGCGCGUAGGCGGUCAGCACAAGUCAGUUGUGAAAUCUCCGGGCUUAACUCGGAAAGGUCAACUGAUACUGUGCGACUAGAGUGCAGAAGGGGCAACUGGAAUUCUCGGUGUAGCGGUGAAAUGCGCAGAUAUCGGGAAGAACACCCGUGGCGAAGGCGGUUCUCUGGGACGGUACUGACGCUGAGACGCGAAAGCGUGGGGAGCGAACAGG
rnacentral:rRNA from 1 species